CAGGCAGACCCCCAACUUCUCAGCCCCAAGGAUACCGCUCAACACCAAAACAGGCAUCAACAGAUUCAGCAACUAACAAGCAGAUGUGAAGACUACAGCAUUAUGGGUAAAGAAGAAAUCCAGCUCCACAUAAUUAUGCCCGCAUCUUGAAAGAUGGUGAUAGACCUAAGAUAACAGGAAAAGCUCACCGACAUCAGCUGCCCGUGAAUUUCCACAGAGACAUUAACUAACAGGGCAAAUAGUGGCAUCUUCCUUGGGUGAGAGUGAGGAGGGCUGGUUCUAAGGUCAGGGCACACAGUCGAAGAGCACGUUCCAUCAAAAUUUUCCUGAGUGCCCCUGCAUGUGCCAAUAAAGUGUAAUAUUCCUGAGUUCCCACAGACAACGCUGUGCAUCAAAUCCUGCACUUGCCGAUGCUUAGGAAACGCUGAGCAGGGAAGAAAACAAAGGUUCGCUGCAUUCCGCGCUCAUAGCAAGCCUCUGCGUCUACGAUGAUGUUCAUAGAUUUGCUUGUGAUUGUGAGACCGGAGUUUCAUCUUAUUGGAGAGAGGGUUUGUGAGAUCCCAAAGUCAGCUUAAAGUGAAAUGCUCUCAAGAGGUAACUCAACUAUUUCAAGAAAAGAAGGAGCGUGAGCCCAACCAACGAGGAGGAUUUGAGGUUUCCACUGACCCCACAGCUGGAGGGCAGCUGGGAUUCCUCAUUCCGUCCCUGCGCCUGUUUUAAGCUUCCUCAAGUGGCUUAGUGGAAAGUGAGCCGCCUGUCUGGGAGCGAGGCCCUUCUCUGCCACUAACGAACUGCUGGUCUCGGGCAAGUCAGCUAAGCUUUCUGCAGCUCAGCUUCCUCACCCUCAGAAUGAGCGGUAGCUGUGCACCAUAACGUCAAGACAGGUCCAGCAUUGACCUCCCGGGAGCCAGGACUACAGGAAGUGAAGCCUUUGUCACCGAGCGGCACGUGGACUCAAAAGUCUGCAGUGGCGAUCAGACAUUCGACGCGUCGACCCAGCAAGACGUGGGGGAAGAAUUUGAGUCCUGGUCUUUGACUUUAAGUGCCUGAGAAACAACUUGUAACAAUAUACAUUCUUGCAAAGAAAUG
rnacentral:lncRNA from 1 species